GUCUAUGGCCACACCACCCUGAAUGCACCUGAUCUUGCUGAUCUUGGAAGCCAGGCAGGGUUAGGCCAAGUUACUACUUGUAUGUGAGAGAAAGAAAGUAGAAUGGUGUUUGUCCUGGGCU
rnacentral:rRNA from 1 species